CCAGCCUGGGCGACAGAGGGAGACCCUGUCUCAAAAAACAAAAAAUCGGCCAAGCGCGGAGGUUCACCCCUCUAAUCCCAGCACUCUGGGAGGCUGAGGUGGAUGGAUCACCUGAGGUCAGGAAUUCGAGACCAGUCUGGCCAACAUGGCAAAACCCCCGUCUCUACUAAAAAUACAAAAAUUAGCUAGACGUGGUGGCACGCGCUUGUAGUCCCAGCUGCUCGGGAGGCUGAGGUGGGAGAAUCACUUAAACCCGGGAGGCAGAGAUUGCAGUGGGCCGAGAUUGCGCCACUUCACUGCACCCUGCGCAAAAGAGCAAAACUCCGUCUCAGAAAGUUAGGAGCCGCUUCAAUGUACAGUGGGUGACCCAGAUUGGCUGCUGAGGUCCUGCCCCCUAAGGUCCUAUCUCAAAAGCUGAAGAUUUUGAAAAAUCCCAGGACAUCUGAGAUGCCAUUCCUGCCUGGUCCCCAUGGCCUCGACCACACUAGCCAGGUUCCAUCUCAGGGUUUCAUCAGCUCAGAUGAGGCGGGGUGGGAGGCCUCCGUGGUGUCUCUUUCUCCCACCACUUAGUGUUGCCUGAGUUUCCACGGCUCCAGGAUACUAGCCCUGAGGGAUGGAUGUUCUCAGAGAAGCUCCUGUCCCCAGCCCUGCCCUGAGCUACAGGUUCUGAUGGGCCUGGAGGCCAUCCUGCCUGAGAUUCUACCCUUAGAGCUUCAUUCUUUUGUGGCUUUCACACCUUUCAGACACUUGGAGAAAGAUCUGCCCCCAGGUGAGGUUUGGGUAACUCCUCCACUCCCAUCCCCACCUCAGAGGAGGCUUGCUCCACCUCCACUGCCCCUCAGGCCCAAGCUCCUGUCUCGGUCCUCAGCCUCUGUGGAGUUGAGGUCUGCAGCAUAUCUCAAGGGCACCAGGGAGGUGCCACUGCCCUGCAUCCUCCCAAACCCCACAGCUCCUCUCACCCCUUUUGGUCUCCCUUUUGCCCCCCACCUCCACUUCCCCCAAGCUUAGGGCUCAGCUCACUGCCCGCCAGUCCCAGCUGCUCUGAUGCCCUCCUUGUUCUAUUGUCCUUACCGUCUCCUCUGUCUGCCUCAUCUGACUUUGCCUUCUCUGGAGGCAGUUAAUUCACCUCUGAGCCUUGGCCCCAGGGUCACCUCCCUGGAAAGCCUUCCUGAGGCUGCCCUGGCCUGCCCCCCUGCUCAGGACAAUCUGGCCUGCAUGUGCACUCCAUUCUGUGGACGAUGAGCCCCUCCCAGACCAAGCUGGGCACAGCUCAGCUUCUCACUAAGGGCAGGGGGCUGCCAUGGAAAACCUGUCACUUCUGACUGGCAAGACAGAGCGCCCAGGUGCUCCAACAGGGCCCCCGAGCGGGACUGGAGGCAGUCAGAGAAGGACCUGUGGGAGCAGCUGGCAGAAAGCAGGCGGCAGAGGGCCGAGCUGACAAGCCGUCUUUGGGCAGUGCUGGAGGCCCUGUAGGAGCAAGCCCUGGUGCUGCAGAGGCAGGAGCACAAGCUGGGACUCGGCUGGUCCCUAAAGCAGAAAGUGAAGCCAUGUCCUCCCCCAUUCCUUCUUCCUGGGCUUUCUGUAGCUGAAAGGAGGUCCCCUGAGCUAGCAAGAUCCCCUUAGCAGGCUGAAGCUCCAGAAUGCCCAGAGCUGGUGUCCAGAUCUGGUGCCAUAUUCUCAGGGAGGCUUGCCAGGGUCUGGGGCACCCAGAGGAGAAAGGGAAAUGGAGUCCCCAGCAAGGCUGCGGUGUUGAACAGAGAUGUCUCUGAAUGGUGCCCCUGGAAGGGUGCAGGGUGUUGCCUGAGAGGCAUAUGCUGGGGGUGGCUAAGGACACUGCUGGAGACGAAGGAAGGGCCAAGGUCCCUGUGGCCCCCCAGGGAGAAUCUGAGGGAGGGAGGGGCUGGUUUUAGCUCCAUAGACUGAAGAGCUUCCUUAGAAGCCCAAUCUCCCCGAGUGAAACAGGCGAUCCCCAGAGAGGGGGAGAUGGCUGUGCAGGCUGAGGGUUCUUGGGAAGGUUACCAGGAUCUCUGCCUCACGUGAGGGUAGGAAGGGGACACCGUGUGAUGGCCCAGUUAUGCAAGCCUUCAGUGACUCCGUGUCUUAGCUCACAGCUGGCCCACCUGGAGCCACUGCUCCCUACCAGGCCUGGGGGACCCUUGGGAUCCAGUUGUCAACCUCAUGUCUCCCUGCCCUUUAGCAUGCCACAGCAGUCCUGCUGGCCUCCACCCUGAAGCUGUCAGCAGCUGGAGAGCAGCUGGAGAGGCGGUGUAUCUCAGGCCCAGCUGGAGGCAGAGGAUGCACAGCUGGAGCCUGUCGUGAUAGAUAACAGCAGAAAACAGCCCCUCAGGGCCCCAGGGCACAGUCCCUUGUAUAAAAGCCAGGGCAUGGGUCCAUGCUGGGCUGUCAGCUGGGCUGCUGGCUGCCAGUCCGCCUGCGUUAUCAAAGGCUGCAGACACUGCCCUGCCUGGUGGGAGGCAGGGAAGCUAUGCCUACCUAUCUGAGGCUCUGUGCUGCCUUCAGCCCUCCCACUCAGCCUCAUCCUAGCAGGUGAAGUGCUCCCUGGCCUGCCUGGAGCAGGAGAGGCACCAGAUGCAGGGAUCCCAGGGACAGGCUGAGUGGAGGAGGCCAGACCAGGACAUAGAAGACAAGUGAGUGGGGCUGGGAUGUGGGGGAGGGGUGGGGUGGCAGGGAACAGGCAGACCAUCCCUUCUACCCUCAGGAUCCUGCGGCUGCAGACAGAAGUGGAAAAGGCCUAGUGGCAUUUGGACCAGAUGACCCAACAGCCUGUUGGCCCAGAGCCCAGCCCGGGGAUCCCCCAAGUGGGUGCAUGGCAGGCCCUGAGCACUGGCCCCGCCGUACCUUUGACCCUGCCCCACACUUUAUUGUCUGGUCCUCAUUAUUGGAGCAUUAUCUAGAGAAGGAGGGCAGCGCAGGGGCUUAGUCCAGCCAAGAGAGGGAUCCUCUUCCAACAUUUGGGAAUACCCUGGGAUCAUUCAGUGACUUCCCUCCUGGUUCAGAUGGGAAAACUGAGACCAGAGGGCAGAGGAGAGCUUGUUCAGAGUCAUAACUUGAGUUGGGGCCAGGACCCUGCCACAACAUGCCCUGAGGCAUCAACGGUCUGCCAAGACCACCCCAGUGUGGUCUGGAAGCUGGAAGGAGACUCCAGGAUUCUGGACCAAGUGUAUCUACAGGAGAUGCUGGUGCCAGGCCUGCAGAUCCAAGAGCAAAGCUGGGAUGGAGGCAGGGCCCAGGAGCUUCGGGACCCAGAGUCUCCAUGCCAGCAGCUGAGACCCCUGCCCAGGCUCAGGACACAGUCCGUCUGCAGGGGCAGUUGCUGAUACUCACUGAGGUGAACAAGAGACUCAGAAGAGCUGGGCCAGAGCCACCAGCAACUAGGGGCCUGCUUGGAGCAGCUGCAGCAUCUGCAGGGAGAGCAGACGGUGUUGGGGGGCCGUGUGCAGGCCCUGGAGGCAGAGCAUACCUGGCUACUUCAGGAGAAGGUGGGGCUGCUAGCAGCACUGGGUGUGGCCCCGGGCCAAGAGUCCUGGUAGGUGGCUGCUUAGGCCCAUCCUCGGAGUGUCCAAGCCAGGCUGGGGUGGGUGCUCUGUUCUCACCGUGGGUGAGAUGGCCCUCUCAGCAGGCGGUGGGCCAGUCUCUGUCACCAGCUGGCUGAGGGGGAAUGGCCCAGAGCCCUAAACCCGGAAUCACACGACCAGAGCCAGUCUCCCUUCCCCAGUACACUCCAGGUCCUGGAGGUACCAGUGCCCCUCAGGAAAGAGCUAGAGGCACAAGAAUCACAUCCCAGGCUUCAUGAGGAGAUGGCUGAGUACUGGAAGGCAUGCUGGCACCAGGUGGCAGUUGCUCUGAAAUUUAAAGAGGAGGAACUGCACAGACUCCAGAGGCAGAGUGGGACCUGGCCUCCCCAGGACCCUCACACAGCUGCAGAGAGGCCAGAGUGCACGCAGGAGGAGCUGCCGUGAGUCUGGGCGGGCACCGUCCAGUGAGCCCGCAGGCCCCUAGUCCACAUGCCAGCCAGGGAGGGCAGGCCAGGGCCCAGGAGGAGAUCCGCUCCCCUCUGCAGGCUGGACCUGCCCAAACCCAAGAGCCAGGGUGAGGGUUUCUGCAGGCAUGAGAGGAUGGGGGAGCAGGGUCCCUAGAUGGGGAUGCAGCCUGCCCCUCCCCAGUCAGCCACAGGAGCAGGAUGCAGGCUCUGGAGAGGGAGAAUGACCAGAUGGCUGCUGGGAUCCAGAGGCGAAAGGUGGGCAGGAGCUGGGCUGCCUGGGGUGGUGUGAGGUGGCCCCACCUGCAGUCAGGGCCCCCAAGGAACCCCUCCUAAGGACCCUAGAGCCCUCCCCAAGCCUGAAGUCAGGGGCCUUGUGCAAUAAAGUGGAGGCCCGGGCUGUGCCACAGCCACAGCUCUUCUCAUGGGGCCUCAGCUUCCUGUGUGUUUAAUGGGUCCCAAGCUCCCCACCCUGGCCCUUAGUACCGGGGAGCUCAGGCCCAGGGGUGUGGGGCCUCCAGGGCUACUAUGGCCCAUCUGUCCAUGAACAGAAAGGGCCUUGCCCUCCAGCUUGAGCUGGGUGCCUGUGGACAGGAGCAGGACUUUGGCUGCCACUGGCACCAGAACCCUCAGCACCAGCUGCUAGGGGUGAGGGUCAGGUGCCCCCAGGUCAAGGUGGCCUGAGCCUGCCCACCCAAGGACAGGGACAUAAGAAUCUGGACAAUCCUGCCAGCCUGAAGGGAGGGCAGCCACCCUGGAGCAGCCCAAGUGCUCCUGAGUCCUUGCCACCUGCCCUCUACCCCAGCAGAGACCCCAGAGUCUGCAAAUGAAAGGAGCUAUGGGAGCCCAGGUCUGCCAAGGAGCUGGAGUCUGCAGUGCGGACUCCACCAGAGGACAAUGGCACUGCACCUGAUGCUGCCAUGGUGGCCUCUUUGGGGCGAAGAACGGUCCCUAGGAAGGCCCCUGUGAGGCUGGAGCUCUGAAUCCAAGGGGGAGCGAAGUUCUUGGGGAGGCUCCAGAUCAAGACACGCGCCAGCUCCACCCUCCUCCACAGACUGCAAAGAAGCAGGAGGGAGGGGGAGCUGCUGCAGGUCUGAGCACCAAGGGCUCCAGCACCAGGACAGGAGCCUCCAGCCACCUCCACCUUGCAGCCCCUGAAGAUCCCAGCCAUGGCCCUGGAGCCCAAAGAAGGGCAUCUGAGAAAAGUUGGAAGCCGGGGCAGUGCCCAGGCAGUGUAGAGACUGUGCCCAGAGCCAGCAGGAGGCAGAUUCACAGCCUCACUCUGCAGCACAAGAGAUUGCGGUCAGGCCCUGCACCCCCGCCCAGUGAGCUGAAGGGUCCUGGCAUAGAGAAGCUGAAUUGAGAGGCCUCAGUGAGUUGGGCACGGUGGCUCACACCUGCAAUCCCAGCACUUUAGGAGGCUGAGGCAGGUGGAUCACUUGAGGCCAGGAGUUCAAGAACAGGCUGGUUAACAUGGGGAAAUUCUGUUCCACUAAAAAAUACAAAAUUAGCUGGGCAUGGUGGCACAUGCCUGUAAUCUCAACUACUCAGGAGGCUGAGGCAGGAGAAUCGCUUGAACCCAGGAGGUGGAGGUUGCAGUGAGCCGAGAUCGCACCACUGCACUCCAGCCUGGGCGGGAGUGAGACUCUGUCUCAAAAAAAAAAAAAAAAAAAAGAGAGGUCUUAGGCAACCGCGGCUGGGCAAGGACUUGGGAAGAGGGGAGGCCCCUUUGGCUGUGCCUUCUGCCCCCAAGGCCAGGGUUUCUAUGAGGCCUGAAGCCUGGAGCCUGUCAUAGGCAGCUGCAGUCAGAGGCCUCCCUGGCAGAAACCACUCCUUGUUCCCUCCCUGACACAGGCCUGAAAUGCCCAUGUUGGCACAAUGUUGCCAAUAUGGCUCUUGGUGGAUGAGACCACCUGGCACUUUCCCAGGGGACCCUGUGGCUAAGAGUAGAGCUGGGCAGGCAGUGCCCAGCACCAUAGGGGGUGCUGCGGGCCUGUAGGCUUGGUUGGCCCAAUUACUGCCCAAAUGCCAUCGGACAGUGCCCACCAGGGACCCUCUGUCUUGCCAAGGAAGGCCUUAGGCACUGGGCUUUAGACAUUUCAAAGUGAGUUCUCAUUCACUUGUGUCUCCGAUCACACUAGAGUCCCCAUUUCACAAACUGCCCAGAGAGUUUGUCAUAGGUCACACAGCAAACCAGCAACUAAGCCCCUGGUCCCCUAAUCUGCCCCAGAAAGGUAGUUUCUCAGCUGUUCUGAGCUUGACAGCAUGACCAUCCUCAGGAGCCACAGGCAAAGUGGGCUGAGGCUUGGCAUUCCCCUCGAGGUCAUCUGGCCAUUCUGAACGCCCCUCCUCAGCCUGCUUCCUCAGCCUGCUUCCUCCGGCUGAGCCAUGUGCCCCCGGAACCCCUCUCAACUCUGUUGCUGACCCCACCCUCCAUCUGCGCCUUCAGUGAAGCAGUUUCUCAAAGGAGGGGUCCCUGGUACCGUGGAGGGACAGAACACCUUUGGGAAUUCAUACCCAGCUGCGUUCGUGCUGAGUUCUUCAUGACCCACUCCUUCCAGCCUCAGCUGGUGGAUCCAGGGCUGGGUACUGAGCCGUACUGGACCAGUGGGCCCCCUCCCGGGAUCGCUGGACUUGGAGCAGAAGAGUCCCUUCAGGGCUGAAGAUUGGACACAGAAAACUUGGGAACUGUCAACUGCCCUGUUAUUCACCUCGUGAAAAAAGCUGGAUUUCAAUGAGAGCGAAAGGAGCUGACAAUUCCCAGAAACUGGAAUUGGGAUGGUGAGAUUUUAGUUCAGCCCCCGGCGGUCUCAUGCGUGGAGGUGAUAAAGUUGAGCUUUGAGGUGGUCUUCAGAGGGAGAGGAAUACCCUCCGCGGGCAGAGCUUCCCGGGUUCCGGGCCCUUCCGGACGUCAACACAGGUCCAAAUGCCCUUGGGCUCCUCCGCACACCCUGGAUGCAAGAAUAAAUCCUUCUCCUCUCUGCCGCCA